rnacentral:rRNA from 1 species
CCUCGGGGGCAGCAGUGGGGAAUUUCGGACAAUGGGCGCAAGCCUGAUCCAGCCAUGCCGCGUGCAGGAUGAGGGCCUUCGGGUUGUAAACUGCUUUUGUACGGAACGAAAAGACUCCUUCUAAUAAAGGGGGUCCAUGACGGUACCGUAAGAAUAAGCACCGGCUAACUACGUGCCAGCAGCCGCGGUAAU